GGAGAAGAAAGGGGAAAAGACGAAACAAAACAAAUUUGUUCAAACAGUUUUUUCCCUUUUUGUCUUUUUCUGUUUUGU
rnacentral:ribozyme from 13 species